rnacentral:lncRNA from 1 species
UCAGUAUGGAUGGAAAUCGUAAAUUAAUGGCAGCUGGAAGUUAUCAACGUCGUGGAGUUAGAGCUUUUGCUAAGAGUAUGACAGACAGAAUUAGUGAUCUUCCCGACGGAGUUGCUCAUCACAUUCUUUCCUUCCUUGCUAUCACAGACCUCACUCGUUUCGGCUGUGUGUCCAAAAGAUGCAAACAACUUUAUCUGUCAACCCCUUCACUGGAUAUUGAUGUAUUUUCUGAUGCACAUAUGGUUUCCUGCUUUAAGCAGUUGUUGAGUUCUUUGGAUAGGUUCUUAUGGAUGCAUCGUGGCGUUAAUAAAAUACAACGAUUUCGUAUCUAUUGGGAUGAUUUUCGCCAUGACGAUUUCCUUGGACUUGAUUUUCUUGAAGAUGCGACCUUUCGAUUGAUGACAUGGAUCCACAAUGCUGUAAGCUGUAACGUCGAAGUCCUUGAGGUUGAUAUCCGGAUGAUGAUUGGUCGGGAGAGACGACCUUUGUUUCCGUUGUCUGUCUUUCUUUGUGGAUCAUUGAAGUCUCUUUUUCUGAACAUGGGCCGUAUACUUCUUAAAGCACCCUCACUUACUUCUUCCUCUAAUCUCGAGUACUUGGAGUUGAGAUGUGUUUGUAUAAAAGACGAGGACUUUUUCAAAUGGAUCUCAAGUUCAUGUAAGUGCAUCAAGGAUUUACAUCUUGAAUAUCUUGAUGGAAUAAACAAUGUCACCAUUGAAAGCUCCUCUUUGAAAUCGUUUAGUUUUGUGAUGGUCGCUGACUCGGCUGACGGUGCCUGCCACAUCAACAUCUCAGGUGAGAAACUUGAAGAAAUAUGUAUCAGCUGGGAACAUACUCCUACAGGCUGCAGAUUACUAAAUAUCCGUGCUCCAAAUCUUAAGUAUCUGAAGUGGUUUGGGUGUUUGAUGAUGCGCCAAAAUUUGGGGGAACUAAUGUGUUUAGAAAAAGCUGAACUUUCUUUGAUGCCUGAAGUGGAUGACCUUAACUUCUUGUCUGAGGUUCUUUGCAGUAUAAGCAGGGUUAAAGUUCUGACUCUAAACCAUGAGACCACCAUGGUAGCGAGACACUUCUCUUUUAAAUAUUUUAUAUCUUUUUUAUUCUAGUAUUUUACAAUUUGGUCCUGGUUUAUUUCUUAGAAAGGCUGUUAGAGUUGGUUAAAUCAAUUUGAAACUAAAUUUAAAAUCACACUUGCUAGAAAAAACUGAUAUUUAUGUUUCUAGUUCGGUUUGAACUGUUGUUCUGGAACGCUGUUAGAUUACUUUGCCUGAUCAAGUAAAUUUACCUUUUGAUAAUUUGGGUAUCGUGUUUAUAACUUGUAGGCUCUGUUCAAUGGGGGUUUGACGGCAAAACUAUUAGGAUAUGUUUUUCAUUUGUGCAUUUCUAUUGGAAGCUUCGGUGAUAUCCUAGUUCCAGGAAUGGUCUCUGUUUUUGGAGGACUACAUAAUUUGAAUACUUUGGAGAUAAAGACUGAUCACUGGUCAUGUGACCCUGAAUGUGUAAGUAAAAGUCUAGCCUCUUUGUCUCUCCUGUGUGUGUGUGUGUUUUCAAUUGAUUCGCAAGUUGAUUGUUGCCUUUCCUGCAGUGUUCUGGGUUUGACAUGGGAUACUGGGGUUUGCAAAACCUUUCUUUUAUUCAUCAACUUAAGGAGGUGACGAUAGAGCUGUGCGAUGGAUCUAACGGAAUUCAGUUUGCAAAAUAUAUCCUCGAGCAUGCUCAGAAUUUGAAGAAGGUGAAGAUCGUUCAUUCGCCUUGGCAGUGUAAUGAUAUAGCAGAGGUAAAGAAAAGCAAAAUGGCUUCCAAUAUUGCCACAGUUGUCUCUGAGGAAUAUAGGACACCCAGGUUUUAUGUUUAAUGGAAAAUCACAAAUAAAUAACAAAAUUCAGCCACUUAGUAGGGUUUAGUGGUAUUCCUCUCUACUUGUAAGUGAGAGGUUUUAUGUUUGAUUUUUGCCAAAGGCGAAUUUAAAUCACAUUAUUGCUAGCUCAUUGUGAGGCUAAGUCCACUCCCUCCUCCUUAGUAUAGAUAAUAUCGUUUAUUAAAAAAAAAAAUAUUCAUGUAAGUGCAUCAAGUGUUCGACAAGCGCCGCUACCCUGCUAAAGCGCUAGGUGGUUGGUUACAGUCACGAUUAAUUUCUAGGGGUUUAAAAAAUAAAAGGGCUCCUAGACCUACCUAGGUGACCGUUUAGCCUGCCGGCAUCCGUCUAGACUACCUACGUCCAUACAUAGGCCCCGCAAGACGCCUAGGCGCUAGGAGGCCCUUGCUUUCAUUCUAACCCUUUCAAUUUCGAUUAGAAUUGGCUUGUUGUAACAGAGCUGCGAGUGUGAUAGAAUAUUCAAUGUUUUUUUUGCAACUUCUCUAAAGUAGCUUGCAUUGAUCCUAUGUUUUAAUAACACAAACUCAAAAUUUCACACCGAGAUUUCCUAAGAUAAUGUUUCACAAAUUAAAUUCACCUAAGCUACAUUUGUUUCAAUCACACAUAUUCAAAAUUAAACAUAACUCACAAUCUCAACAUAUAUAUAUAUAUAUAUAUCACAAUUAAAUAAAUAAUUUUACUAAAAAUUAAAAUUAAAUUAAGAGAUAAAUAAAUACAUUUUCGUUAAUUUAUUCUAAUUCAUUUACCAACUUACAACAAACAAAAUUAAUUAAUUACACAAUUUAAAAAAUAUUUAACAAAUAAAAAAACAAAUUAAUUGGGAGAGAGGGGAGGGAGGGAGGUUUUUGCAAAGGGCAGAGGAGAGCAGCACUGGGGAAAGCGGAAGGGUUGUCUGGUAAUAGAUAAUCCGAAUUUAAACGAGCUCGCGAGACGAAGGAUCUAGUCGUUUGAAAGUUCUCUCAAACGUAUUGCAUCUUGUUGUUUUAAUGAUGUUCCAUCUUUAGUCUUUCAUUGUGGAUCUUUGAGGUCUUUGUUACAAAAUAUUUUAAACGCUUUCGGAAUUGUCGUUGUUUUCGAUCUACAUCUGACUCGAAUGUUUGGAGUUGAGGCAUGUUGUUGCUUUUAGAAGACGGGGUUUUUCUUUCCAACUGCAUCUCAUGAUGUUGCAACUGCAUUCAGAGGUCACUUGGUUCAAGAAGUUCAUGGAAUUUGUUACGUGCGUAAAAAAGAGAAGCGAACCGAAUUGAGGUUUAAUUGUAACUAAGGUCCCUAAACAAUACUUAAAGCUGCAUUUUCAUCUAUACGUAUACAGUUAAAUCUUUAUAAAUGAAUUAUUUUGAGACUGUUGCAGUCUUAAAUCCUUAUGGAUUGUCCCUUUCUUAAGAGCAAUUCCACCCCUAAAAACUUUAUGCCAACACCCAACGCAUUUAUCCACUCAGUGAACAGUGAUAGACCCCAAUGAACAGUAAUAGGCCAAGAGCAUCUCCACCCCUAAAAAAAAUAGCCUAGUCAAUUUUAUUAAAAUAUUAUUAUUAUUUAUUAUAAAAUAAUAAAAUAAUAAUUUUAUUAAAAAAAAAAAAGAUAAGUUAGGAACCUUUCCCACUAGAACCUGUAUACUCUCCCUCUACAUCCCCCAACCGGUUCUCUCUCUCUCUUCUCUCUCUCUCUCUCUCUCUCUCUCUUCCAGCUCCCUCCCGUGAGCUCUCUUUCUCCUUCAUCUUCAAAACCUUCAACAAAUCAAACACAAAAUAUUAUUUUUGUAAUCCCUGGAGCUCAAGGAUCCCAACCAUGGCCUUGCAUGCGACAUCGGUGCAUGGUGAGAGGUCCUGCCAUUGAAGCCGAGAACUUGAGCUCUCAAUCUCUAACCCAGGUGAUGUAUUUAUCACUGUAUUGUGUUCUUGAGCUUUAAAUCCUGUUGUAUUGCAAUUUUUGUGGUUAAUUUGAGGGCUUAAUUCCCUGCAUGUGAUUCCAACAAAGGAAAACGGACAACUCCGACAGUUCAAGGUCCAAUCUCGGUGAAAUCUCUUGCAUUUUACUUGGGUAAGUUCUCAAUCCUAUUCUUAUGGUUUCUAACAUAUAAAUCGUGUUGGAAACCUUUGUAUUGAUGCAAACGUGCUGUCGGUGCAUUUUUUUUCAAAUUUUCCGACAAACUCGGGCCAUCACUUUAGGGCCAUUUGCCUUCUCCCUCUGGGGCUCCUUCCAUCCAUGACGUCAGCAUGGUGUCAUAUGGCCCGGACCCAAGGUCAGUCAAUUUUGAGCUGGCAUGGAGACCAGCUUGGGCUAGGUGCCAGGCAAUCCCAUGGCUGGAGAGACUUCCCUAGGUGUUGGGCCAUUUUUUUGGUUGUGUGCUUGCCUAUCCCACCCCCGGUGGAAGUGCUCUAAUGACUACAAAUAAAAACACUAAGGGUGAUAUAACACACUACAAAAUUCACUAAUUCUUCCUUCUCUCUUGCCGCCCUUCUCCCUCUCCAUAAUUGUUCUAUAAAAUAGACCUACAUUUAUGUAUUGUUCAUUUUUUUUUGAACAAAAUGUAUUGUUCACUUUUGUUUUUUUAUGAUAAAGAUACAUGUAUCUUAUAAAAAACAAAGAUAGGUUUAUUUUUAAAGGUUUUAAGCUUUUAAGAUAAUUUAAGAAUGAGAAGAUCAAUUAUUUAAAAACAUUAAUCUCCUAAAAAUAUAGUAUUUUAAGAUGUUUUAUAUGUGUCACCUAAUACUACGGUCUAGUGAUAUUCUUCUUUAGUUGUAAGUUAGAGAUCUUAGGUUCGAUUCUCGCGAAAGAUGAAUUUGAACCACAUUAUUGGUAGCCCACCUCAUUCAUCUUAGUAUAAAUAAUAACAUUUAUUCAAAAAAAAAAAAAUAUAUGUAUAUAGAACAUAAUGACUUUAUAUAUAAGUAAUCUUUUAGACUCUUAGGUUAAAAUUAGAAUAAUGCUACAGAUACCAUAUUUGUACCGCUCACCCCUAUUUACUUUCUAAAUAUUUUUCUUAAUUUCUGAUAUUGUAACAGAUAAAUUAAAAAAAAUCAAAGAACAAAAAAAAAAUUAUGCCAAGAGUAAAAAUGGUGUUUCAGUCCAAACUUAAACCCAUAAAGCAAAUGCUGCCGUCUGUUUCAUCAUCGAAAUUAGGCUAUCUUCAACGAGGGUUCUAGACCUCUGCAACUUUAGCCAAAACACCAUAUAUUCACAAAUCCAGCCGUAUCUCAAGCCGUUUCAGGCCGAUCCAGCCGGUUCCGAGCCGUACCUCAAACGAACCGAGGUGCUCCCGCUUCCGGAGCGCGAUAUGGGCACCAAUGUGCCGAAUCGGUCCUUCAAAUUUAAGGAAGAAGAUGCUUGCUGGUACGUGCUGUUAUGAAUCUAAUAAUUGUCUUAGUUGUUGAAUUGGUAAAGUGGGUUUCUAUUUUUGGCUCUUUCGGGGUUUUUGGUGCUGCAAAAAUUGCAUUAUCUUUCGAUUGAAUUGUCGACCCCCAUCAAUUGUUUCUUUUAAUGGGUGAAAGAUAGUAGUAAAUUAGAAAAAGCACCCUGAUAACUAUAAGUUUUAUAGAAAAGCGAAAUUUCCUUUGGUGUUACAAAGUGUAUUGGGUUUUUUUUUUUUUUAUUUAUUUAUUUUUUUUCUGUAAAGAAUUGAGCUUUCAUAUGUUUUUCUCCAAAGUCUGAUGUUAUUAAGGGCUUCCAUGGCGAAAAACCGAUGAUUUCUCUUUACUGAGUAUUUGUAUUUAAUUUGGUUAACUGAACUCUUCCACCAUCCUUGUAAAAGUGCAGAAAAUGGAAGACCCAAUUUUCUUGUAAAAGUAUAAAACCCAGUAAGUGCAUCAGUAUGGAUGGAAAUCGUAAAUUAAUGGCAGCUGGAAGUUAUCAACGUCGUGGAAUUAGAGCUUUUGCUAAGAGUAUGACAGACAGAAUUAGUGAUCUUCCCGACGGAGUUGCUCAUCACAUUCUUUCCUUCCUUGCUAUCACAGACCUCACUCGUUUUGGCUGUGUGUCCAAAAGAUGCAAACAACUUUAUCUGUCAACCCCUUCAUUGGAUAUUGAUGUAUUUUCUGAUGCACAUAUGGUUUCCUGCUUUAAGCCGUUGUUGAGUUCUUUGGAUAGGUUCUUAUGGAUGCAUCGU